rnacentral:rRNA from 1 species
CCUACGGGAGGCAGCAGUGGGGAAUAUUGGACAAUGGGGGAAACCCUGAUCCAGCGACGCCGCGUGAGUGAAGAAGUAUUUCGGUACGUAAAGCUCUAUCAGCAGGAAAGAAAGAAAUGACGGUACCUGACUAAGAAGCACCGGCUAACUACGUGCCAGCAGCCGCGGUAAUACGUAGGGGGCAAGCGUUAUCCGGAUUUACUGGGUGUAAAGGGAGCGUAGACGGCUGAGCAAGUCUGAAGUGAAAGGCCGGGGCCCAACCCCCGGACUGCUUUGGAAACUGUAUAGCUAGAGUGCAGGAGAGGUAAGUGGAAUUCCUAGUGUAGCGGUGAAAUGCGUAGAUAUUAGGAGGAACACCAGUGGCGAAGGCGGCUUACUGGACUGUAACUGACGUUGAGGCUCGAAAGCGUGGGGAGCAAACAGGAUUAGAUACCCCUGUAGUC